rnacentral:rRNA from 1 species
AACAAACGCUGGCGGCGUGCCUAAUACAUGCAAGUCGAACGGGGAAAGCUUUCGGGUGAGUACUAGUGGCGCACGGGUGAGUAACGCGUGGAUAAUCUGCCUUAGAGUGGGGGAUAACUAGUCGAAAGAUUAGCUAAUACCGCAUAAGACCACAAGAACUGCGGUUCAAGGGGUCAAAGGUUUUUCGCUCUAAGAUGAGUCCGCGUAAGAUUAGCUAGUUGGUGAGGUAAUGGCUCACCAAGGCGACGAUCUUUAACUGGUCUGAGAGGAUGAUAAGUCACACUGGAACUGAGACACGGUCCAGACUCCUACGGGAGGCAGCAGUAGGGAAUAUUGCACAAUGGAGGAAACUCUGAUGCAGCGACGCCGCGUGAGUGAUGAAGGCCUUCGGGUCGUAAAGCUCUGUCUCAAGGGAAUAACACAAUGAAUGUACCUUGCAAGAAAGGAUCGGCUAACUUCGUGCCAGCCGCCGCGGUAACAC